rnacentral:rRNA from 1 species
UACGUAGGGUGCUAGCGUUGUCCGGAAUUACUGGGCGUAAAGAGCUCGUAGGUGGUUUGUCGCGUUGUUCGUGAAAACUCACGGCUUAACUGUGAGCGUGCGGGCGAUACGGGCAGACUGGAGUACUGCAGGGGAGACUGGAAUUCCUGGUGUAGCGGUGGAAUGCGCAGAUAUCAGGAGGAACACCGGUGGCGAAGGCGGGUCUCUGGGCAGUAACUGACGCUGAGGAGCGAAAGCGUGGGGAGCGAACAGG